GUGCACCAGGCGCGAAACCUCCGCAAUACACGAAAGUGUGACGGGGCCAUCCCGAGUGCCGUCCGCUGAGGACGGCUUUUCCCCAGUGUACACAGCUGGGGGAAUAAGGAGAGGGCAAGCCUGGUGUCAGCCGCCGCGGUAAUACCAGCUCUCCGAGUGGUGGGGACGCUUAUUGGGCCUAAAGCAUCCGUAGCCGGCUGGGCAAGUCCUCCGUUAAAAUCCAACGAUUCAAUCGUUGGGCUGCGGGGGAUACUGUCCAGCUUGGGGGCGGGAGAGGCCGACGGUAUUCCCGGGGUAGGGGUGAAAUCCUAUAAUCCCGGGAGGACCACCAGUGGCGAAGGCUGUCGGCUAGAACGCGCCCGACGGUGAGGGAUGAAAGCUGGGGGAGCGAACCGGAUUAGAUACCCCGUAGU
rnacentral:rRNA from 1 species